AUGCACGCUAGCGAUAGGCUUCACCCCUGCAAGUCGAGGGGCAGCAUGGUCUUAGCUUGCUAAGACUGAUGGCGACCGGCGCACGGGUGCGUAACGCGUAUGCAACUUGCCUCACAGAGGGGGAUAACCCGUCGAAAGACGGACUAAUACCGCGUACACUCCAUCUUGGGCAUCCAAGGUAGAGGAAAUGAAAUUCGCUGUGAGAUAGGCAUGCGUCCCAUUAGCUAGUUGGUGAGGUAACGGCUCACCAAGGCGACGAUGGGUAGGGGAACUGAGAGGUUGAACCCCCACACUGGUACUGAGACACGGACCAGACUCCUACGGGAGGCAGCAGUGAGGAAUAUUGGUCAAUGGGCGAGAGCCUGAACCAGCCAAGUCGCGUGAAGGAUGACUGUCUUAUGGAUUGUAAACUUCUUUUAUACGGGAAUAACAAGAGUCACGUGUGACUCCCUGCAUGUACCGUAUGAAUAAGCAUCGGCUAACUCCGUG
rnacentral:rRNA from 1 species